GAUGAACGCUGGCGGCGUGCUUAACACAUGCAAGUCGAACGGAAAGGCCCUGCUUUUGUGGGGUGCUCGAGUGGCGAACGGGGGAGUAACACGUGAGUAACAUGCCCUUGACUUUGGGAUAAAUUUAGGAAACUGGGGAUAAUAUCGGAUAGGAGAUCCUGCAGCAUGGUGGGGGUUGGAAAGUUUCGGCGGUUGGGGAUGGACUGGCGGCUUAUCAGCUUGAUGGUGGGGUAGUGGAUGACCAAGGCUUUGACGGAUAGCCGGCAUGGGAGCGUGAACGGCCUCAAUGCUCCUGAGAUACGGCCCAGUCUCCAAUCGUAGGCAACGGUCGAAAGUAUUACACAAUGAGCGGGCGUCUGUUACGACGGCCCCCGGUUCGGAAUGCCCUGUUUCUGGUUAUGAACCGCUUUCGCCUUAGACGAAGCGUUAGUGACGGUACUGAAUCAAAAAGCACCGGCUAACUACGUG
rnacentral:rRNA from 1 species